UCUAACUUAAUUUUCUCCAGAAACAAACAACUUUUUUCAUUGUUGUUAUAUUGCAAGAACCAUGUUUGUUGAUGGAUAAUGUUUUAUUUUUUUCAGAUGAGAUAACAUUUAUCCAAGAUGUGGGGCACAUACCAAUGAAGAGGUUCCCUGUAAGUUUAAAACUGGAGGCCUUAACAGACCAAGAAGUCCAUCUAAAAAUUGAUAGUCUGGAGGACAUUAAGGAUCUACAGAAAGGAUCGGUGGAGUGUCUAUCAGCCAAUCACCCGCAGUACCCAACAACCAGUGUCACGGAAAAUGAGAAGACUAUGAUGAUUGAAGAA